rnacentral:rRNA from 1 species
UACAGAGGUCUCAAGCGUUGUUCGGAUUCAUUGGGCGUAAAGGGUGCGUAGGUGGCGCCAUAAGUCAGGUGUGAAAUCUCGGGGCUUAACUCCGAAACUGCAUUCGAUACUGCGGUGCUUGAGGACUGGAGAGGAGACUGGAAUUCACGGUGUAGCAGUGAAAUGCGUAGAUAUCGUGAGGAAGACCAGUGGCGAAGGCGGGUCUCUGGACAGUUCCUGACGCUGAGGCGCGAAGGCCAGGGGAGCAAACGGG